AGCAGUGCCGCGGGAACACGGAGGGGGCUAGCGUUGUUCGGAAUUACUGGGCGUAAAGCGUACGUAGGCGGCUUUGUAAGUUAGAGGUGAAAGCCUGGUGCUCAACACCAGAACUGCCUUUAAGACUGCAUCGCUUGAACGUCGGAGAGGUGAGUGGAAUUCCGAGUGUAGAGGUGAAAUUCGUAGAUAUUCGGAAGAACACCAGUGGCGAAGGCGGCUCUCUGGACUGUAACUGACGCUGAGGCGCGAAAGCGUGGGGAGCAAACAGGAUUAGAGACCCCUGUAGUCCCUGUCUCUUAUACA
rnacentral:rRNA from 1 species